CUAGAAUGUCAGGUACAACAGAGACAGCUGUUUGUCCCCCAGUAUCCUUCAGACAAAGCCAUAUAUGAUUGAAGGUUAUCAGUACUGUGCUUUUGGAGGAUUCAGAAGAAGUUAUAUCUGAUUGGGAGAUUGAAAAGGAUUGGCCUGAAGGAGAGGUGGUUUUUGAACUGCAUCUUAAAGGAUGAGGAAACUGAGGCUGAGAGGGUAGAGAACUUUGCCUGAGGUCACUCAGCAGGGACCCACCCAUCACAGUAAAUGCCAGCACUGCUGAUGCCAAAACAAUGUUAUUUGUAGGCCCUCGGAAUUUGUGACCUGAAGGAAGAAGAGCAGGGCCGUGGGAAGUAUGUAACCAGUGUCAUGCCCCUGGUCCCAAGGAAGCAGUGGCUUGGCCUGAACACCCUGUCCUACCUGGUCCUACCUGGAUGCUGGCCUCAGUAAGCUCCUGGGCUCAUUGAAGAUGAACCUAGCAGUAGUAUUUACACCACUUGUUGUGUGCCCACUGUGGGCCCGGCGCCAUGCCGAGUGCUCUAUGGAUGUGAGAUGAGAACACUGAAGCAGUUUUUUCUAAAGAUAGCUGCCUGGCACAGUGGCUCACAUCUGUAGUCCCAGCAUUUGGGGAGGCCAAGGCAGGUGGAUCACUUGAGGCCAGGAAUUCAAGACCAGCAUGGCCAACAUGAGACGGGGGUUUCACUGUGUUAACCAGGAUGGUCUCGAUCUCCUGACCUCGUGAUCUACCCGCCUCAGCCUCCGAAAGUGCUGGGAUUAGAGUGCUGGGAGAGAAAAGCAUACGACAUAGACAGGGAGGUCAAGCUCCACCACGCAGAUGAGGUGCAGGCCACCAGUCUUCCUCUGCCACAUCUCUUUCUGAAAAGGACUUCACAUUCACCCUUGCAAUCCAUGUGGGGACACUGUUGGAUAGGAGGCGUGGUCCCAGCGUGGUCUCCCUGUCUGGGCCUCUGCCUAUGCCAAAUGUUUGCCUUACGCUGCACACUCAAGAGGUUCCAUGUAUACAGAUGGGAAUUCCAGAGCUACAGAAAAGGCAGCAAGCACCAUGAUUUAAGCUAACCAGUGUGGAUUCACACCUUCCUCUCUCUCUAUCAGUGGCAGAACUACCAGCUAGAGUAAGAAGUGGUUGAUCCAGGACCUAAACAUUCUGGAAACUCUUGCCCACUUCUGGGAGAAAUGACCCAAUCCAUAGUACUAAGCACACCUUAACUUUCGUAGGACGCAGGCAAGUUGUCAUACCGUGUGCCUAAAUAUAGAAAAAUGAUCCACUGGACUAAUAAAGUGUUAAAUAAAAUAUGUCCUGACUG
rnacentral:lncRNA from 1 species